rnacentral:piRNA from 1 species
UCAGCCUGGUGUAUGACCACGCCAAUUCU